rnacentral:sRNA from 1 species
GAGCGUUUCCGGGGACGGCGCCGCCAUGAGACUGACACCGCGCGCGCUGUGCAGCGCCGCCCAGGCCGCCUGGCGGGAGGACUUCCCCUUGCGCGGUCGCGACGUGGCGCGCUGGUUCCCGGGCCACAUGGCCAAGGGGCUGAAGAAGAUGCAGAGCAGCCUGAAGCUGGUGGACUGUAUCAUCGAGGUCCACGAUGCCCGGAUCCCACUUUCAGGCCGCAACCCUCUGUUUCAGGAAACCCUUGGGCUUAAGCCUCACUUGCUGGUCCUCAACAAGAUGGACUUGGCAGAUCUUACAGAGCAGCAGAAAAUUAUGCAACACUUAGAAGGAGAAGGCUUAAAAAAUGUCAUUUUUACCAACUGUGUAAAGGAUGAAAAUGUCAAGCAGAUCAUCCCGAUGGUCACUGAACUGAUUGGGAGAAGCCACCGCUACCACCGAAGAGAGAACCUGGAGUACUGUAUCAUGGUCAUCGGGGUCCCCAACGUGGGCAAGUCCUCCCUCAUCAACUCCCUCCGGAGGCAGCACCUCAGGAAAGGAAAAGCCACCAGGGUGGGUGGCGAGCCUGGGAUCACCAGAGCUGUGAUGUCCAAAAUUCAGGUGGAGUCCUUAGGGGCCAGGCCCAGCACUCUGUCAAGAGCUCUGCGGGCGUCUGGCACCUGCCGACCUCUGCGUGACUUCCAGCUGCUGACCACGCUUCCCUCCCCUCCACUCAGUGUCCCUGCUGAGCACCCCCGGGGCAGGCACUGCCCCUGCCCUUACUCCACAGUCCUCAUAGUCUUUACACCAAACCUUUGGGGAAGGCACGCUGUUUUCCCCAUUUCCAGAUGAGGAGGCCACUGUCCAGGGCCAUGCAGUGGUCAGGACAGACCUGAGUGUGGCGCCCCACCCCCCCGCCCCCCGCACCCUCCACUCCCUUCCUUGUGUUCUCCUUGGGAGCAGAAGACAAGCUGUUGGGACCUGACGCUUUUAUUUAUUCUCCAAAUUAAGUGGGAAUUAGAUCCUCUGGGGAACCCUAGAGCUUGGUGAGAGUGACGCUGCCAUGGGGUUGGGUCCCCGAGGCCUUCGUCGGAGCAUUGGGUGCCAGGGGCUGCCCAGGCUUCCUGAGUGGCCCACCUGGGUGGGAGGCUGCCACUGCGGCCUGAUGAUGCCCUCUGUGCCCACACAGGUCUCUGAGCGGCCCCUGCUGUUCCUGUUGGACACUCCUGGCGUGCUGGCUCCUCGGAUUGAAAGUGUGGAGACAGGCCUGAAGCUGGCCCUGUGUGGAACGGUGCUGGACCACCUAGUCGGGGAGGAGACCAUGGCUGACUACCUGCUGUACACCCUCAACAAACACCAGCGCUUUGGGUAUGUGCAGCACUACGGCCUGGGCAGUGCCUGUGACAACAUAGAGCGUGUGCUGAAGAGUGUGGCUGUGAAGCUGGGGAAGACGCAGAAGGUGAAGGUGCUCACGGGCACGGGUAACGUGAACGUUAUUCAGCCUAACUAUCCCGCGGCAGCCCGUGACUUCCUCCAGACCUUCCGCCGUGGGCUGCUGGGUUCCGUGAUGCUGGACCUCGACAUCCUGCGGGGCCACCCCCCGGCUGAGACUGUGCCCUGAACUUGUCCGGGUGGGGAGGGCUGGAGGCAGGUGGCCUCCCAGACCUCCUGACCUGGGUGGUUGAGGCUCAAGACAGCUCACCCAGUCCAGAAGCUCCAUGCUGGCCACUAGGGUGCUGUGCUCUCUGGCGCCCCACGGCCUGGCCAGCUCCGGGGGCCCCAGUUCCAGGGGCCAAGCAGGUGGGAGUGGACACCAGGCUUCCCAGUGGACGUCCCUGAGCAGUUCCGCAUGCUUGGUUCUCCUGGAGCUUCCUGCUCAGGCCUCUUGAGAAACGGAUGCUGUCUCAGAAGGAGUUAAAGCUAUAACUUGUAACCUUUAAAAUCUCCAAUUAAAGGGCCUAUUUCUUACUGGCCUGUGAGGUGCACCAUAGUGCCUUGGGUCUGUGUGUUAAAGCUGCUCUCACCAGUGGAACCUAAGAAAUGAGCAGGUUGGCAACUAGGGUUUGUGUUGGAGGCUUUCGGUCCAGUGUCCUGCAGUCCUACAACAAGUGAGAGGCUCGCUGCCAUCAGAGAGGUUUAUUUCACACUUACAGGCGCACAAAGACACAGACAAGAGACUCCAGCAGCAGAGCCCAAGCACUGGCUUCGCCCCUCAGUGCCCUGGGGCAUGUUCCAGGCAGGGUUGAGGGGGACGUCCUGCACAUGGCUUUGCUGUGCAAUGACUGGAAGGCCGCCCGGCAUAGGCAGUAGAGACCCCUGGCCUCUGAGCACCUUCUAGCUCACGGGUAGUGGGAUUCUGCAUUAGUGGGGCUGAGAGAUGUGGGGGCCCCUCCAGCCCCAUUAUAGUGCACCUGAAGGGGUCCACAGCCUGUAUCCUAGAAGAGGGAAGAUGAAGGAAGGCAGGUGGGGCUGGGAGUAUGGACUAAGGUGCUGCGGGACCUGGGGCCAGGGACAUCCUGUGCAGAAGCUCCGGCCGCCUCUUUCCGGUGGUGGCCUGACCGUCCCACAGCAGCCUCCACCACGGCCCUGGUGCUCAGCGGCCCCUCCUUGCUGGCUGACUGCCUCUGCUGCCCCAUACCCCCACACAAUCAUCAGCCUGAAGUUAGCCCCUGAGUGCCACCUGCUUCCUGCCAUAACCCUGACCGCCCGGGGCAGAAAGUAUUCAGAUUGGCUGUGUCAGAUGCUAAUGUGCUGAAUAAACAG